CCCGGAUAGCUUUGCGGUUAAGGUGUUCGAUUCACAAUUGAUCACCCCGGGUUCGAGUCCCCGUGGGGA
rnacentral:tRNA from 1 species